rnacentral:rRNA from 1 species
UGGGGAAUAUUGCACAAUGGGCGAAAGCCUGAUGCAGCAACGCCGCGUGAAGGAAGACGGUUUUCGGAUUGUAAACUUCUAUCAAUAGGGAAGAAAAAAAUGACGGUACCUAAAUAAGAAGCCCCGGCUAACUACGUGCCAGCAGCCGCGGUAAUACGUAGGGGGCAAGCGUUAUCCGGAAUUACUGGGUGUAAAGGGAGAGUAGGCGGCAAGGUAAGCGAUAUGUGAAAGCCUUAGGCUUAACCUGAGGAUUGCAUAACGAACUAUCUAGCUAGAGUACAGGAGAGGAAAGCGGAAUUCUUA